UAAUGAGUGUCUUACAAGAAGAAAGAAUGCAGAUGACUGCCCUGGUAUGUAACGAUACGCAUAUAGACUCAGCCCCUUUGUCAGCUCACAAUAGCCCCUGAUGAUCUGAGCAUUUCCUCCCUCUGUUUGGAUGACUUGAAAGCACAUCCCAGCAAGUAAACUCACUACAUUAAAGCGAUGUUCCUUCCCAAUUUACACCAGAUUUCAUCCCAUCAUAUCAACAGCCCAUACCGCCAGAAAGAGGACUUUCUUACACAUGAUUUCCAUGGUGUUGAUGUGUUUCUGCCCUAAACAGACAGAUGCAGAUGAAGCAAUGCAUGUUGAUGCCAUUACGAGACUGUGACAUGGGCAGAAGUUUCCUUACACACUCAUGCAAUCACACACAUUGUGAACAUCCUGUUUAUUUGGCUCGUCCUCUGGCGAUUGGCUGUGGCGUAUCAGCACAUUACUGACAGCUGGGAAUUUCUCCAGUGGAACAUGCUUUUCCUAUGACACACAUCCAAGGAGCAGCAGGAGCACAUGCUGACCGUGGUGUCCAUACAAAGCAGCCCAGUUUCUCCAAAUGCAGAGCAUGUUGGGCGCUUGGGUUUUGUUGGGACACCACCGAGGGACCCCGCUGACCUUCAGAGGCCAUACGAGAUAACACGUUCCUGGACCCCUAUUUCUGGACUGCUUUGGGCAAGCCCCUCUUCAAGACAGGGACAAUGCUGUCCUAGAACACGGACAUUUUCACUGAAAGGAGUAAAGAGGUCACUGGGAAAAAGAAAAGAGAAGAGAAGAAAGGAAAAGGAAGACAGAAAAACUAAAUAUGAAGGACCUUUGGGAGACUUCAGGAAUAAAUCUAGGCAGAACUCUAAAGGAUUUAUCUGUGUAAGGGUUCAACAUGCUCCAAGGAAGAAUAGCAAGAAAACGCUUUGGGAAUGAUCGUGAGCUUUAAGCCUGGGAUGUCUAGACAAGGCAAAGGAACAGAGGCCAUCACUGCAACUCUUGGGAUGUGUUUCCCUAGAACACAAGAAACUCAUCUUUCAGUGUGGGGUCAUGUCACCAAGCUGUGUCCUUGCCCAGAGACAGAGGUCAAAACUCUGUUGGCAAGGAAAGAACUCUGGAGUGCAAUAUUGCUGGAUUCACUCGCUGUGUCCUCUGAUUCGAUCUUCAACGGAAAUCUGACAAGGUCCCCACAAAAGAGAGAUUUGGGGCAGGGGGAAAAAAGAAUGAUGCAAAUUAAAGAGCCAUGACCUAGAAGGUAAAAGAAAAAUUAAGAGACCUUCCUCUACAGAACCUAUCAAAACCUUGUAACGUGGCAUAGAAGAAGAACCCAUGUGGAAUUCUAUCGAUAAAACUGGAAAGAAGAGGAAAAAUGAGACCAAAUUUCAUGAAAUGCACACUUGUCCCAAAUAUUCUAAGUUGGUUAGUUAAGUUUUAAAGUUUUCUACUCAGGCACCGAGUUUCUGUAGAAUUCUCAUAAAUAUUUUUCUUUUAGUUCAUAAAUAUUUUUCUUGCUAAAAUUGAGACUUUAGUAUAUGCCUCUUGACCUGGGUUCACAUUUUAUAGCUGAAAAAAUAUAUAAAACCUCAAAGGAAAUCAUAGCCAAAUUGUUGGGUUUUAGUUGGUUUUAGGUCAGAGGGCAAGAAUUCAUCGAAUUUUAUAUACUUUACACCUAAAAUAAAGAAAUACCCAAGUUUGCCUAAAACUUGGCCCUAUUUCCCAUUCUAUCUGGGGCCAAAGUUUUCAGUUAAUCUGGCACAAAUAUAGUUUUUAAUGAUACCUGAGACCAGGUGAUUUUUUAAAUGAUUUUAAUGCUAAAAUUUCAUAAGUCUAUAGAAAACAAACAUUUUCCAUUGCCCAAAUAAUCAUUUGAUGAUACUUAAGGACAGCGAAUAAAGUUUCUGAGAGUAAACUAUCACACAGUACAGUUCCUUUGUAUUUUCAGCCGAUGGCUUCUCCAAAGCAGGCGUAUAAUAACUUCAUGAUUCCAUGUGGCUGAGGUCUCAGUUAAGACUUUGAAACAUGGAAUCAAAGUUCAAACAAUCCUUUCCUCGUUAGUGAUUCCUUCCAUCCAAAUUUCCUAAGCCAAGGUCAAUAAGAAUAAAAUGUAUGAGUGAAUGGAGGUUUUGCAACAACAACAGACUAUUUAUACUGUGGUUGUGAUUAAGACAUAAGGAGGGGACAUAAAAUGAAACUUAAUAAACUGACUUCAUGAAGGCUAACAGUUUUCUUAAGCUCAGAAAUUAGAAAUUCCAAUAGGAACACAAUUUACCUUAGUUCUAAAGCAUUAGUCAAUCACUGAAAAGUAGAGUUAGAUUUCCUAUCGGAGAAAAAUAGUAAAAGAUAAAUAUAAGCCAGACUAUCUUCCUUCCAAGAUAUACUUACAUUCUAGAUGUUUCCACUGGGGAUUAAAUUAACAAGUCCUUGGCAAGUUAUUUCCAUAUUCCCAAUACAUACCCCACAGGAGACGUGCAUUCCGUCCUUCGAGCUGUAUAAUUUAGGUGAACUGGACAAGUGCAGGCAAAAUAGAUGUCAAGCUACCAGAACAUGAAAUAAUCUAUAAUCCAACUGCUAAACUGCACAGAAUAAGGAUUUUAGAAAAUGUCAAAGAAAAGUCGUGAGCUAAAUUUAUGUAACUAAACAAACAGGUCUUGAGUUUGAGACUCUCUGACUCACGUUCCAUCCUCAGGGAAUUACUAUUACUUAUAGGUACUGUGCCAGGUUAUAGAAAGUCAAAGAUGACAGAAUCCAUACUCUACAAAAAAAUAUCUAUGGAGGAGCCUAUAAAGGUGGAGAAAGACAAUAAAAUUCAGUAAGUAAGAGAAGUAUGUUCCGGAUACUAUGAGAGCACAGAGAGAAGCUACCAGACUCAGCCUGGAGUAGAGGUGGGUGGGGAGCCCGCUUGAAGAAAUCAUGGACAUCAGACACGUAGAAAAGAAAAAGAGGCCAUGCUAGGUGGAGAAACCAUAUGAACAACAAAAACGAUGAGUUAUAACGAGUAAAGUUUAUGGCUAGAGGUGGGGUAGGGAUCAAGAAAUCAACAGAAAUAGCCGAGAAGCACGGGGAGGGAAGGAUGGAGAGCGGAGCAGGGGCUGGAUACGAAUGGUGUAGUGGGUUGAAUGAUAACCUCCUCCCGAGGUACGUCUAUAUUUUAAUCCCCAGAACCUAUCAAUGUAACCUAUUUGGAAAAAGGUCUUUGCAGAUGUAAUAGUUAAGGAUAUGCGAUAGGGUAUCCUGGAUUAUUUGGCUGGGCCCUAAAUCCAAUGACAAGUGUCCUUACAAGAGUGAGGCAGAAAGAUAUCUGACACAGGAGAGAAGGCAGAGGGAAAAGGAGGGGCCGCCACGAAGACAGAUGCAGAACAUGCAAUUUUGCAGCCGCGGGUCAAGAAAGGCCAACAGCUAACAGAUGCUGGAAGAGGCAAAGAAUGGGUUCUCCACUAGAACCCGCAGAGGGAGCAUGGACUUACUGACCCCUGAUUUUGGACUUCUGCCCUCUAAAACUGUGAAAGAACAACUUCUGUUGUUUUAAGCCACCCAGUUUGUGGUCGUUCGUUAUGAUGGCACGGCUAAGCGAGGGGCUGAGAUCCACGGUCUUGGCUGCUCUGAUGGGCGAUCAUUUCGUUUUGCUGUUGAGGGUGUUCAAAACUGGGAGGCAAGGCUGAUAGGGAGUUAGGCGAGGCAUUCCAGAGAAGGAUUAACUAUUGAUUACUAUUAUAAUAAUUCAAGAAAGAACACAUAAGAUCUUUGUCAAAUGCAUAAUUUUUAAAAUCUUAAAACAGUAUAAUUCUCAUACAUAUACAUAGUCAAAGUUUUACUGAACUUAUUAAUAAAAAAGGCAGCAGGACACAAAGGCAAUUUAUCUCGCUGGUUCAUUAUACUGAAACGUACCAACCAAUGUAUAUAGAGUCAGUGAACGAAAAAAAAAACAAAACUCUAUAAUGAGAUUGCUAAAUUACAACCACCAUCACAACAAAAACGGAUUAUUUUUCCUCACGGCCAGAAAUCACAAACUUUGGUUCAUCUCCUUUCCUGGGCUGAAACCAUCAGUAUUGCUACCAGAAAGAGACAUAUAUGCACAUUCUGGGUUUUCUACAAAUUCACACCUAUGCUUACAAAGUUGUGGAAGGUUCUCGUGCAUUCUAGCAAACAUCGAGGAAAAGUCCCAUUCUUAAGACAGAUCGACUUUACGGGAGAUCGUCAGAUGACGCCAUUGCUUAACGAGGAAGUCAUGUAGGUAUCUUUUUUGUCUUACUUCCAAGUUUUGGAUAUUUUAUUCUUAAAAUUUGACAUUCACGUUGAGUCAACAAUCGAGGGAGAAAGCAGGUAGUUUAGAGAGCUUGCAAAGAAAGAACUUACAAGGAAAGACUAAUACUUAACCUCACUGCUAGGAGAAUUGGAUAAAUUAAUUCCUGCCAGGACCUAGGAUGGGCGCCUUCUCCAACAUUCCAUCAUCAUCUAACAUUAUUCUGAUAUCGUGCGGAAAAUCUUCCAGGAGGACAUAUUUCUAAUAAAAUAUGUUUGUCUUCUUGUAUUCAAUAACCUCUGAGGAUAUAAAGUUACUGUGUAUAUAAAGUUA